rnacentral:rRNA from 1 species
GACAGAGGCCCCGAGCGUUAGUCGGAAUUACUGGGCUUAAAGGGUGCGUAGGCGGGCGUGUGCGUGUCUCGUGAAAGCCCCGGGCUCAACCUGGGAACCGCGGGGCAUACGGCACGUCUCGAGGAAGCUAGAGGCCGGCGGAACGAUCGGUGGAGCGGUGGAAUGCGUAGAGAUCGAUCGGAACGCCAAGGGUGAAGACAGCCGGCUGGGGCUUUCCUGACGCUGAGGCACGAAAGCGCGGGGAUCAAACAGG